rnacentral:lncRNA from 1 species
GCCUCUUUUGGGAUAUAUACUAUUGCUAGAUAUUUUGUUUACCAACUGGUUCCCAGAUAUGAUAUGUAUGUUGCAUCUCAAAGAGACACAACUUGGGAACUUUACCAGUAUGAAUGCAAAUAGAUAGUGGCCAAAUUGAAGUUGAGAAGGACCAACUGUUAAGUAAGAGGAAUAAAGUAUAUAGGUUUAAAUUCUUGGAAGUUUGAGGCAUAUAUUUUAUAUUUAUACCUGCCAACCCCUGAAACCUUCAAAGAGGAUGAUCCCCCCUUAGCUAUGACAACUGAGUGGGAUAUUUUGCACGAAUGACAUCAUGGACAUUUUCAAGUGAAAUAUAUGACCUGUUUAUUUAAUCAUCUACAAAACACAUAUAAAAGAGUUAAUAGAUAUACUUUAUUUCUUUAAAUAAGUU